UACGAAGGGAGCUAGUGUUGUUCGGAAUCACUGGGCGUAAAGCGCACGUAGGCGGAUGUGUCAGUCAGGGGUGAAAUCCCGGGGCUCAACCUCGGAACUGCCUUUGAUACAGCACGUCUUGAGUCCGAUAGAGGUGGGUGGAAUUCCUAGUGUAGAGGUGAAAUUCGUAGAGAUGUGGAGGAACACCGAUGGCGAAGGCAGCCUUCUGGGCCAAUACUGACGCUCAUGCACGAAAGCGUGGGGAGCAAACAGG
rnacentral:rRNA from 1 species